GAAGGGCUGUAGCUCAGUGGUGAAGCAUCUGCUUUGCAUGCAGAAGGUCCCAGGUUCAAUCCCCAGAGUCUUCA